GGCACAUAGCUCAGUUGGUUAGAGCACCACCUUGACAUGGUGGGGGUCGUUGGUUCGAGUCCAAUUGUGCCUACCA
rnacentral:tRNA from 1 species